GGCCGCAUGGUAUAGUGGUUUGCGUGUUGGACUAUGACCCUGGAAACCAGGGUUCAAUGCCCCGCUCAGCCA